CCUACGGGAGGCUGCAGUGGGGAAUAUUGCACAAUGGGGGAAACCCUGAUGCAGCGACGCCGCGUGAGCGAGGAAGUAUUUCGGUAUGUAAAGCUCUAUCAGCAGGGACGACAAAAGACGGUACCUGACUCAGAAGCCCCGGCUAACUACGUGCCAGCAGCCGCGGUCAUACGGAGGGGGCAAGCGUUAUCCGGAUUUACUGGGGGUAAAGGGAGCGUAGACGGCAAGGCAAGCCAGAAGGGAAAGGGCAGGGCUCAACCCGGGACAGGCUUUUGGAACUGUGGUGCUAGAGUGCAGGAGAGGUAAGUGGAAUUCCGGGUGUAGCGGUGAAAUGCGUAGAGAUUAGGAGGAACACCAGUGGCGAAGGCGGCUUACUGGACUGAAACUGACGUUGAGGCUCGAAAGCGUGGGGAGCAAACAGGAUUAGAUACCCUAGUAGUC
rnacentral:rRNA from 1 species